CGGGUGCCCAGCUCCGGGCGGGCGGCCUCGGCCCUUCUCCCUGUGUGGCCUGGACUCAGUCCCGCUGCGCCCUUGGCGAGUCGGGGAAGGAGGUGGCGGGCGAGGGUGCUCCGGACGAGGCCAGGCAGGGGGAGGCGAACCUGCGACUCGCCGGCCCGUGUCCCCCGCGUCUCCGGAGGCCCGGGGCGCGGGCACCUUCGGUUGAACGGAAGAGGAGCGGGGAGCGAGGGAGGCGGCAGUUUGUGUCUCGGGGCUCUUCCGCCCCUUCUCGCCUCCUCCUAAGACAGACAGACGCCACCCCACCUGGGGCCGAGCGGGAACUGUGGGACCGUGAUUCGGUCCCCAGGUCCAGACGCCCGGCCUCGGGGGAGGACACGGUCCCAGCCCGCGUGGGCACCGCGUGGGACCGGGCACGGGGCUGCCAGGGCUGGGUCCCCUCUGGCCCCGGCCUGGGACACCGCGGGCCUGGGGCGGCGGGCCCCUUUGUGUGACUAAAUUUGGCAAGAAUAUGAAUCCGAGCCAGCCUUUCCACGUGUGCUCCCAGCUCCCAGCUGAGGAGGCCAAGGGUUCUCUUCCGGUUCCUCGCAGCACAGAUCUGUGUGAAUUUCAGCGCCCGCAUGCUGCAGCCUGCCUUUGAUGUGUGUGAUCUGUACAUUUUAGUGCUCAGGGAAAGCGCCUGACUGACAGCACCGACAUCCAAUGCCCAGGAAUCACGGCAACACCGGCUGGCCAAGCGUGGAGAGGACAAUUUUCCAGAAAACUUUCUCUUCCCCUGUAAAUCUGCCAUCUGGGGCGUGCACGAUCAAAGGUUCCUCAGGAAAUCUACAGCGCGGGGAACACCAUUCCCUCUACAGACUUUGUUUGCAGGCUACUUCCUCAACCGUAUCUUGGUACAUGCAGGUCAGACAGUAGAUCUGCUCAAGCCUGCGCCUGGAGUUUUUAGCAAAAUACCUUCGUGAAGCUUAGCCGUACUCUUAGGCAAAUGUCUCCUCGUUGCACAAGCCAUUCCCCCCAUUUCGGAGAUCUAAAUCCUCAUGAAUAAGAGAAAGGUGAACAACAGCAAGCAGGGCCAUUUCCUGGAAGAAACGUCAGAGAAUCUUCUGGUCAGAACCAUAUCCCAGACCACGGUGUGCUCUUCUGGUGGCAAAGCAUCUCAUGGGCGGAGUCCACAAGCACGGCCCCCUUCACUGUGGCUUUUAAAAGUGACCCAUUGACCCUUUCACCAGAGGCAUAGAGAUUUAAGGAUUCAGCUGACGCCAUCGCCACAGCAAAGGCUGUUUAAAAGGAAAGGUUAACUGUGGUAACUGCUGCUGAAAUUAUUUUGCCAGCAAGAACACCAAAAGUAUAUUCAAAAGGCUCUCAGUGACAUGUUCAUAGAAGUGUAGUUUAUGACUUUGAAAGGCCUGGCUGUUCAAACCAUAGAUUGAUGAAAUCAAUUCUAAUAUAGCCACCCAGGGAAUCACUGUGCAGCUAUGAAAAUGAUGUAUGAUUAUUUUCAAUCCUAUGAAAAAGUAGAGAUGGUGCAUAGUUAAAUGAGAAAAGAACGAAUAUAAUAAAAGAGAGAAUACAAUCUUGGUCUCAUUUUUUAAAAUCUUUCUGUACAUAUUAUUUAUUAGAACAUGCUCACAGGGGCCUUGUCUGUCUUACCUCAGUGUCCCUGGUGUCUAGAAGGAUUCCUGGCACAAAGUGGGACGACAUUCAUAUCUAUUAUUAUAUCUAGAAAGACAGGCACUGAAAUAUUAG
ensembl:lncRNA